GUUCCGGGGUCUGCCGAGUUCGGGGCCUGAGGCCUUUGCGCAGGUUUGAGCGUUUCCGUCCGCAGUUGCUUAACGAGGCCGCGGUUGUGCUGGCCCGGAAGCCUCGGGCUCCACUCUCCCCGUGGAGGGGGGUCUCGUCAGCUCCGUGAGCUGGCCCGUUCCUUGGCGCUUCUGCAUGUUAGCGGUUUCCUGAGGCCGGGCCGGCCGCUUGGUGUUACAGCACCUGGGAGCUGAGAAUGUCUUUCCUACACGUAAACGCAGAUAUUUAUUGAGAUAAUACCUCUGGGACUCUAUGACUUCUGAGCUGAUGCCUUGUCCGCUGCCCAACCUGAGGCUCACGGUGAUAGAAAAAGAGCAAAUAUGCUGAAGCAGCUGCCAGCUUCACUCCUUGCUCACUGUAUAUGUUUCAGUUAUGUGCUUGGCCUCUAAAAGGAGAGUUGGAAGGAGUGCUCCAUGUGCUUGAGACAGACAACAGGUGGGUGUGCUCGUUCAGAGACGGAGGCUUUGGAGUGGAACUUGGGAGUCGCUCCGUGUGUCUCAGGAGACAGGUCCUUGGCUGGGUUUGAGGGGCAAGGUUUGAAGGCUGUACUCCCCAGCGCCUCCACGUGUCUUCUUGGGGCCCAUCAAGUCCAGUAGUCCAAAGAACUGGCAGCUCAUAAAGCUUCUGAAAGGCUAGAAAGCUGCCUUCUCCCUAGAAAGCUGCUUUCAAUUAAAGUGGACCCUCAAAUUCUCCAUUUUGUUUGUUUUUAAAGCCUACAUAUAGGUGAUAGUUUGGGCAUGCAUGUGUAUCUUGUCACUUUGAACAAAAAAUGCUGCCCCAGUCUCGUCCCCGCUAGAGCAUGUGCUCUGCGCUGCUGCAGCGCUCACCAGGUGGAGCUUGCUCCCCCUCAACACAGCUCUGGGCUGCUGAGCACUGCGCUUUGUUUACACGAACAAGAAAGAAACACUUGCUACUCUUGCUGAGACCCCCUUGUUUGCAGUUUUCUGUCACUUGCAUCACACUUGCUCUUAAAGAGCACAGUGGCCACCUUAGCAAUGCCACUUAGAGUAACACGUUUCCUCCCCCUCACGUGAGCUCUCCCUCUCUCUGAAUGAAGCUUUGACGUCUCCAGGGCACUGUAAGCCUCUUCCUCUCAGGCCCUUCUGUCAGCUCUGGCCAACAUUCUGCUGUCUACCUCCAUGUAGCCGUCCAGGCCUGGCCUGGCCCUGCUCACCUUGGUUUGCCCGCCUCUCUCCAGCUAAGUUUUGACAGAUCGUUUGUUCCUCAGUUGCUCUCUUGAACCCAAGUGUAGUUCCCUCUUGCCCUUGUGACCUUGGAUUGGUGAAC
ensembl:lncRNA